CAGUUUCCAAUAGAAGUUACAACCAUCCUAAUACAAAUCAUCUUUUAAAACCUUCAGAGCUCUUCUGGCAACUGCAAGUCAGUUGGAGACCAGAACACAUUUCUCCCUUGUCCACGUUCCUGCAGUGGAUCCUUUCUGGGCUGCAGCAGCUGUUGCAGGGGAUUUUUUUCCCCCUGGAAAAUUCAAAUAUGGGAAUUUUGAUCAUCAGAAAGAGGGUAGAAUGCCAUUUUAAAGUCAAUUAUGCAAAGGUGUAACAACUUGUCCACAAUAUGAAGCUUCUGAGCUGUGGACCAUAGAAGUGACAGCAGAAAUUCAUCUCUGAUUCAUCACUGAAUUGUUUGAUACACCAAGUAUCCAGCUUCAAUCAAAAUAAAGAAGUUAGCUUCAUAAAAUGUAGAAUGAAGAAAACAAUCGAGACAAUAAUCCGUGAGCAAGCAGAUAUGUGGAUGCAAAAGAGAUGCCUACAGUAUUCCUCUGUUGGUAGUACCAAGAAGAAAGGUCAUGAAAAGCCCCAUAAAUAGCCUCUAUUACCCAGAAAGCAAGCCUUGGGAAAGUGUCAGAAGUGUCACACCUACUGAAGGUACAGUGCCAGCACAGCCCACCCUUGGCAAAGGGACAGGAAAACACCACCACGGAAAUAGGAAUGUGCAUGUAAUU
rnacentral:lncRNA from 1 species